rnacentral:rRNA from 1 species
ACUCCUACGGGAGGCAGCAGUGGGGAAUUUUGGACAAUGGGCGAAAGCCUGAUCCAGCAAUGCCGCGUGUGUGAAGAAGGCCUUCGGGUUGUAAAGCACUUUUGUCCGGAAAGAAAUCCUUGGCUCUAAUACAGUCGGGGGAUGACGGUACCGGAAGAAUAAGCACCGGCUAACUACGUGCCAGCAGCCGCGGUAAUACGUAGGGUGCGAGCGUUAAUCGGAAUUACUGGGCGUAAAGCGUGCGCAGGCGGUUUGCUAAGACCGAUGUGAAAUCCCCGGGCUCAACCUGGGAACUGCAUUGGUGACUGGCAGGCUAGAGUAUGGCAGAGGGGGGUAGAAUUCCACGUGUAGCAGUGAAAUGCGUAGAGAUGUGGAGGAAUACCGAUGGCGAAGGCAGCCCCCUGGGCAAAUACUGACGCUCAUGCACGAAAGCGUGGGGAGCAAACAGGAUUAGAUACCCCAGUAGUCCC